UACGUAGGUGGCGAGCGUUGUCCGGAAUUACUGGGUGUAAAGCGCGUGUAGGCGGGAGGCCAAGUCUGUGGUGAAAUCGCUCGGCUUAACUGGGCGGGGUCCAUGGAAACUGGUCACCUGGAGGUCGGUAGAGGCAAGUGGAAUUCCCGGUGUAGUGGUGAAAUGCGUAGAUAUCGGGAGGAACACCAGUGGCGAAGGCGGGUCUCUGGGCCGAUACUGACGCUGAGGAGCGAAAGCGUGGGGAGCAAACAGG
rnacentral:rRNA from 1 species